UGGGGAAUUUUCCGCAAUGGGCGCAAGCCUGACGGAGCAACGCCGCGUGAGGGAGGAAUGCCUGUGGGUUGUAAACCUCUUUUCUCUGGGAAGAAGUUCUGACGGUACCAGAGGAAUCAGCAUCGGCUAACUCCGUGCCAGCAGCCGCGGUAAGACGGAGGAUGCAAGCGUUAUCCGGAAUUAUUGGGCGUAAAGCGUCCGUAGGCGGUUAUUUAAGUCUGCUGUCAAAGCCUACAGCUCAACUGUGGAUAGGCAGUGGAAACUGGAUGACUAGAGUGCGGUAGGGGUAGAGGGAAUUCCCAGUGUAGCGGUGAAAUGCGUAGAUAUUGGGAAGAACACCAGUGGCGAAGGCGCUCUACUGGGCCGCAACUGACGCUGAUGGACGAAAGCUAGGGGAGCGAAUGGGAUUAGAUACCCCCGUAGUCC
rnacentral:rRNA from 1 species